rnacentral:rRNA from 1 species
CCUACGGGUGGCAGCAGUGGGGAAUAUUGGACAAUGGGGGCAACCCUGAUCCAGCCAUGCCGCGUGUGUGAAGAAGGCCCUCGGGUUGUAAAGCACUUUCAGUGAGGAAGAACGCCUGGUGGUUAAUACCCAUCAGGAAAGACAUCACUCACAGAAGAAGCACCGGCUAACUCCGUGCCAGCAGUCGCGGUAAUACGGAGGGUGCGAGCGUUAAUCGGAAUUACUGGGCGUAAAGCGCGCGUAGGUGGCUUGAUAAGCCGGUUGUGAAAGCCCCGGGCUCAACCUGGGAACGGCAUCCGGAACUGUCAAGCUAGAGUGCAGGAGAGGAAGGUAGAAUUCCCGGUGUAGCGGUGAAAUGCGUAGAGAUCGGGAGGAAUACCAGUGGCGAAGGCGGCCUUCUGGACUGACACUGACACUGAGGUGCGAAAGCGUGGGUAGCAAACAGGAUUAGAUACCCCAGUAGUC